rnacentral:lncRNA from 12 species
UCCCCGGAUCUGGGGUGACCCGGACUAUCUCCUAGAACAGCUACUGGGAGGGGUGGGCCUGCAGUCUGGGUGAACUCAGCCUUUGACACCCCUACCCCCCAUCACUGCCAAGCCUCCUACCCCACUGCCUACCUUUCUGUGCUGGUCUCCACUCCAGGCUGGUUCUGCAUAUCAGCAGCCUGGACCGCCCGCCCCUUCGACCUGGACAACUAUACCAGCACCAACUGCCUGUGCCCAGCCACGGCUACAGGGGGGAAGUGCCCAGUUGGAUCUUUCUGCCCCGAGGGCAGCCCAGAGCCCGUGCCCUGCCCACCGGGCUCUUUCUGUGCCACCUCUGGUAAGGACCCAGGAGCCCUCUCUGGCCAUUGUGCUGGGACCCAGGCUUGCAAACAGUGAGAGAACUGGUGGGAAACCCAGCCUUCUCACCACCCAUGUGACUAUUUCUCUGUAAACUGAGAACUGAUGCCUGCACCUGCCUCCUGGGGCGAUGUGCUCGGCGUGCUUGCGUGCUUACAGGCCAUCUGUAUUGCCACUGUGGUUGAGUGAGCACAGGUGGGUCAUCACAGACUAGCAGGGGGAGGGCAGGUCCCUCUGAGGAGGGAGGGGCUCAGUGACCUCUCGCUCAUGCCCUCCCAUUGAGCCCCACAUCUGAGUGACUUCCUGAGCACCUACUGUGACCACAUGCUCUCAGUCACUGGGGACCUGAGUGUGAACUAGACUCUUCCUGCCCCAGCUCUCAACUGCCCUCAGACGGUGGAGCACAGGGAGGCCAAGACCCCAGCCUAUGCUCAGGUCUCAGCUCUGCUACUAGUGCCGAUGCCUCAGGCCCUCUGGGAGAUGACAAUGCUAUUGGGAUUGUAGGGUUGGGUGAGGAGAGAGAGACAAAGCACUCUGCACAGGCUCAACCAUUGGCGUGACUUUUCGGUGCUCCUGGGCCCGACACUGCACAAGGACCCCAGUUGAUCUGCACAAUACUCAGCCCCCGCCUGGCACCUCCUCUCACUUCCAGGACUGUCCACUCCCAGUGGGCCCUGCCAGGCUGGCUACUUCUGUGCUGAAGGAGCAGUGUCCCCAGCUCCAGAGGACGGGCUGACAGGGGCCCCCUGCCCCCCGGGAAACUUCUGCCCUGCAGCAUCGCACAGGCCGACGCCAUGUCCUGCUGGCACAUUCUCCAGCCUCCCAGGGCAGACCAUGCUCUCUGCGUGCCAGGCCUGCCCGCACAGCUUCUACUGCAAGGAGGCUGGUCUCCAGGCCCCCAGUGGGCAGUGCCCAGCAGGUAAGAGGCAGCAAAGAUCUUCAGGUGCAGGCAAAGGGGACGAGGCCAGGAGUAAGAGUUCCACAAGGGCAACUGUCUGGAUCCCGGGCUCCACAGCACGGCCCUUGAGGGUGCCUGUGGCAAGAGACCUGCACAACUAAACGCCUUUAGGGAGAGGACAGUCAUCCUGAGUGUCCCUCACUCCUGGCCAGGUUAUUACUGCGACUCUACUGCUGGACCCGUGCAGGACUUCAGCCUGUAUCCCUGUCCUCAAGGGUAUUACUGCCCCCUGGGCACAGCUGUGGCCACACACCACAGGUGCCCAGUGGGCACGUACGGCCACCAGGGAGGGCUGAGGAGCAUCACUGAGUGC